rnacentral:snRNA from 1 species
ACCUAAAAUUCUAUUCAACUUGAC